rnacentral:lncRNA from 1 species
AGAGGAAGGGGAGGUUAGGCCUGAGAAAAGCGUGCCCAAACCACAGAGCCUGCCGAGUGCAGGCCACAUCACCAGCAACGGCCUUAAUGAGCUCUGGGCUGGACUCUCCCAAUUGAAUUACAUAAUACAUUUCCGUUUCAUUUCAUGAAUCACGACUUGGGAUACAAUGUUCCUGGGUUGCAGUUGAUAUAUUUCAGAGAUUACCAAAGAUUUCAAACAGAAAAAAAGAUCUAUUUUAUUAAACUCAUAUGUAAAAUGUCUGUAUGUCAGCCAACUUAUUUAUUUUCAAAUUUGGGAUUUUUGUAAAUGUCAUCGUUAGACAAUGUCAAGAGAGUUCCCGAUAAACCCAUUAAUGAAUGGUAUGACUGAAGCGGCCCCUGGACAUUUCAUUUCUCUUGACAACCAGGUUCCUGCUUGAUGAUGGUGGCUUUUAUUUCAACUGCUUCUGUUGGGUGAAAGUGAGGAAAAUAUGGCAAACCUCAAAGCAUGGACCAGGGGGAAGUCAGGCUCAACCAGACUGUUCACGGGCAUAUGGUCUGAGAUGAUCCAUCAUGGUCUAUGAUGUCAGAUUAUCCACUGAGACUUGGGACUCUGCAGAAAUAUAGUUCUGUUCAGAUAAUGGUAUUUCCAGUUGUUGUGAUGGACAAGACCGACGCUGUGGAAAACAGACUGGUAGGAUACCAGAUGACAGACGCACAAGGCAGGCAGAAGAACAAGGCAUUGUGAACUGAGCCGUAGGUGAGUUUUGCAGUGCCUUCCUCCACUGCAUUUCUCAGCAGUCAGCAUUGGUUACCAUCCCAAACCCCAUAGUCAACCAGUCCACAGACACACAGCCUUUGGUGUGGUAAGUUCCUGGCCACUGUCGUGAUGAUUACCCAAGCUUCCACAGGCUCUUCCCGCUGUGCAUCCCCCUCCUGCUACUCUUGUCUCGCUUCAUAAACCUGAAAGGCCAUGUAAAGGGCUGCUUUCAGCCCCUUCCUCCCUGUGGUUAACAGCUCCAAUCAUUUACUCUUCCUCUGCAUCGUUUGUUUUGUUUUUCCUGUCUUUAACUCAUUCUCUUUAUAUUUUUUCUGGAAUAUUCUCCUAAAUCCCCUAUAUUCUGCCCUGAAUAUUUUGCCUUCCAAUACUGAAGCAAGAAAAAAUGAGAGACCUGGAAGGACUUGUGGGCAGGGGAAAGAAUAAGAUCAAAAUAGACUGCAGGAAAACAAUAAAAAUAAUUCUAAAAUGUAAUUUAAAAAGAACAAUCAGAACCUACCCCUAUGGAACUCCAUUAUUUUACCUACAUGUAUAAUGUAUAUCACAUGUGAACACUGUAUACAUCCACUGACUUUAGCAGGGUACUGUGUAGACAAAGAAGCAAAAUGACACCAUGGAAAUAUGGUCUUUGAGACCAAGAUGACUUAGAUUUAAAUGGCUGAUUUGCUGUUUACCGAGUGUUUGAGCCUUGGAAGUAUUAUGACUUAACCUCUAGGUUCCUAUGGUUCCUUUGUUUAUCCUACGAGUGAGCUGUAAAACUUAUCAUCAUAUUGGCAUACAGGCAACCAAUGUUUGGAGCCCAUCAUGUCUGUCAUUUCUAUGAUUAAUCAACUCCUUCACAUGCCUGUUUUUUAAGCUGCAGAUCUUUUUGUGGAUACAUAAUCCAUAUUGUAUUAAUACAGAAUCUCAAUCAUAUUAAAAUUUGUUUAAAUGAAUGAGUUUUGAAGGCACUUUUCAGGGUCCAUAGACAUAGUAAACAGACAGAAUCAAUGUCAAUUAAAAAUCCAGAAGUGUCUCACCUUGCUUGGCCCCUGUUUCUCAGAGACCACCCCCACUGAUCACUUUUCCAUUCCAAUUCCAAGUUUUCCUUUUCUGUCUUGGGUGAAAAGUUGAGUGAUAGAAGUUGGGAUGUAGGUCUGAAAACCUCAGGAAAUGGUUAAGUUUACUUUCCUUCUUAAAUGUAUAUUUUAACAUUUUAACAGAGGACAUUGUUAAAAAACCAAGCUGCUCUUCUGACUCCUAAGAAUGGUGAUUUCUUGGCAGAUCUAUAUGUUGUUUUCCACCCUAGACUAGCAACUCAAUCUCCAAGGAAGAACACAAGGAAUCAGGUUUUAACAGGGACAUCAUCACUGGGCCAGCUGGAAAGCCUGAUCUAAAUCAAUCACAAGAUAAUAUAUCUGAACACCAUCCUGCCUAUGUGAAGUUUGUAUGCAACAAACAGGAUUAAUUUAACUCCUCAGGGAGUUUAGAUUCCCUUCGCAAAUUAUAUGCAACACAUAUAUGUAUGUGUACUAUGUGUAGUGUGUAUAUUUAUGUGGUAGUACCCAUGUACAUACUCAGCUGUACUUUUCAGGGUUUCAGUUAUCCAUGGUCAACCAUAGACAGAAUGCAUUCAAUGGAAAGUUUUAAGAUAAACACCUCAUGCGUCUUCAGUAACUUUCAUGGGACUGUAUAUUUAUGACUAUUCUUUCUUGCCAUCAUCUAUUACUGUUAAUCUCUUACUGUGCAUAAUUUAUAAAGUUCACAAUUGGAGUGUAUAUAUAAAGCAAACAUCACAUCUAGAGGACGUGGGUAUCAUUUGUGCUUUCAAGUGUCCACUUAGAAAAUGCCUAUGAAGACACAUAAGUAAGAAGAGAUCACUGUGUAUGCGCAUAGGAUUAGACAUAUAUACACACACAUACUCAUACAUACACAUUAAAAAUGAUAAACUAUCAUACAGCUUCACUGCUGAAAGAAAUAGGGCAAUAGGAGCAAAAUACACAAGAAAAAAAAAGAUCCCCCAAAAGUUAGGAUCUUUUUCUUGGAGGAAAACAGCUGUUUCUUAGAGAAGUUUAUACAGGCAUUUUCAGUACUACUUAUGGAUAUAUUCAAAUAGCCACAUGAGUCAAAUAAAUUGUAUAGCAAACCUCCCCCCCUAUACCUGUCACUGAUUUUGAAUAUGACUUGCCCACCACCCACCCUUCCCGGUGCUCCUCCUGGAAACCUUUUAAAGCAGGCCACAGAAGCCCUGUACUGGCCACAUGUUUAUUACACUUCUAGGGCAGGAUCACAGGAAUGUUUACUUCAUUUCUACACCUGCCCUGUAGAAGGAGUGCAGACCACAAACCACGGUUCAAGUAGCACUGUGUCAAAGCUCAUGCCAAAGGGCUAGGGUGUAGCUCAGUAGUAGAGCUAGUAUUGCCUAGCAUGUGUGGGAACCCGCAUUUGAUCCCCAGUCCUGGAAAAUUAAAGAAGUAAAUAAAUGAAUAGGCUCAGCAGGGGCUGUGGUGAAGAGGAUUCCAAGCAAGAAACAAGUGACAAGAAAAUGAAAAAGCUCCCCUGGGAAGAACUAACUUCACUACAGGAAUCUGAACUAUGCCAGGUAUGCUGUGUGUUCACUUCUUUUUUAAUGGCUGUUAUCAUUGUGGCAAGAUGACACCCUCACUUUCCAAUGUAUAGAUGAGGAGACAGAGGUUCUAAGAAGAGAGCAACCUACACAGAGUCUUCUAACUAAAACUGUCAGCCUCUCUCUUGGUAACCCUCCAGAAAUUUAUGGUAGGACUAUGUUUCUUAAUUCUAUAUAUUGAAUCAUAGAACAGGGAGAAGUCAAGUUGGUAUCUGAAAACUUCCCCUUAAUGACUAGUUUUCAUACUGUUGGAAGGUGCCAUGCACACUGCUGGAGGAGAAAAUUAGAUUGAUUUUAUCUGGGUAUGAACCUAGAGAACUAUGAUACUGACCAGCCUGGCAAAAGGAUGCCUGCUAGCACAAUAGUGGCACAAAAAAACAUGGAAGUAAACAACCAUUUUCUGGUUGGAUUUAAGGCUCAUUCUACAAAAUAAAACCCUUACAUGGCAUUGCUAUAGGGGUCAAGAAUCUAUGGCUAGAUAGGCCAUAGGCCCUAGAGGGACCUGCUAACAUUAUUCUGCUAAUGAAACAUAUAUUAAACCAAAUUCUAUCAGUUUAUUGUUAUAUCCACGGACUAGUGCAUCUCUCAAGCCUCCUCAGAAGAAAUGCUUUUCACAACAGAAAGCAAUCACAGAGAUCCCACUAUAUGACUGGUUAGGGCAUAAAGAAUGAGGGACUACAAAAUGCAGAAUUUUAAAAGGCAUCUAUAUUGCAUCCCCUCCUCCUCCAAGGCUCUGGGAUCACUUUAGAAGUGGGGAAGAAAGACUGUAAGAGUCAGUGGUUGUGAAUGACUACAAAGAAAGUGUUUUUUGCUGGCACAGGUUGGAAGUUGAAUAGAUACAAAUACACUAUUUGUAGUUACAGUGUGUGCACGACCUGCACAAGUUCAACCUAGACUAAGUCCCAGAAUAAAGAAGGGUUGUGGUCAUCAAGACUCACCUCUAGCUCAAGAACUAUUGGCAAAUGACAGUUUCUGGGAGAGGGAGUUUUGUUGAAGGGUGUGGCCCUUGGUAGGCAGACCAUACUCAAACGGAAGGUCACACAUUCAAAAAUAGUGUGGGCAGUCAAAUUAGACUUGAUGGGUAUAAUAAUAAUAGUAAUAAUAAUAAUAAUAAUAAUAAUAAUAAUAAUAAAGUUGGGUGGUUAAGGAAGGGGGAAUAUAUCUUGGAGUAGCUGGGGAUGAGGUGAAUAUGAUCAAAAUACAUUGUAUGAUCUUGUCAAAGAACUAAAAUGAAUGAGAAAAUUAAUUAUUUAUUCUUUGAAAAUUUCAUAGAUUUGUACAAGGUAUUUUGACUAUAUCCACUCACCACUUCCUCCUUUCAACUUCCUCUAGUUCUCCCCACCCUAUCUCUUUCCUGUCUCUGUGUCCUCUUUUAUUUUUUAAUGUCAUUGAUAACCUCAUGAGUUCAAUUGAUAAUGCCCGUAGUCACACAGGAAGGACCAUCUCCUGGAUCGUAGGCAAAUAAAUCAUCAGUAGCCGUGUUCCAAAGUUGAGGAUGAAGGCCUGGAAGCAGAGUUGGUGGAAUGCACCCAGGUGGGGACACAGUGUGUAAGGAGAAUAGUGUGCCUUAGACAUAGCAGCCACCAAUGAGAGUCAUGAAAACUAAAGUGGAUAAAGCGAUUAAAUCCUAAGAGAGCCAGGUAACAUAUGAUAGGGAAGUUGCUCACAUAAUCUCAAUAAGAUGGUUGCCUAAACAGGCAUAAUGACAAUACCAGUUGAAACACCAACAGGGAUGGGAAAAAUUGCACACCAGGUCCUAUCCUUAGAUAGAAAAUCAGACCUCUAUAGGGAAAAGUACACUCAUGGGUUAUCCAAUCUGAAGUUGUCAGCCCUAAAUAGAUGUACAUAGGCACAAUACUAAAUAGACUCAGUGUGUUUAUGUAUGUAUGUGUUUUCUCUCUCUCUCUCUCUCUCUCUCUCUCUCUCUCUCUCUUUGUGUGUGUGUGUGUGUGUGUGUGUGUGUAUGUGUGUAAGAAUGGAAAUUAAAGAUGAGGUCAUGGAUUUGAGAGUGGAGACAUAGGAGGAGUUGGAGGGGUAAAUAGGGAGCAGGAAUGAUGUAAAUAUAGUGUUCAUAUAUGAAUUUUUUAAUUUUUAAAAACAUUAAAAAUUUAAAUCAAAUUAAAAAACCGAAGUCCCAAUUUUCCAAUGGUUUAAGAUAAUAAGCACUAAAUACUUCCCCAUCACAAAAUCAAACAACAAAAUCACUUUUCAUCACAAAGUGCUUUAGUCUAACUGACAUUUAUGGAGCCCGCAUUCACUCACUCCGUCAUGAUAUUUUUCUGUUGGCUUAUCAUUUACACAUGAAUCUACUGAUAUUUUCAUUAUCAUCUGCCCCCCAUAUCCUCUUAGUCAGCAUCCCACUGACCACUCAGUGUGGCAGUUCCUGGUGGGUUUAAAUUAAAUCUCCAUUCUUCUAUUUAUCAAUAAGACUCAGAGGUCAAAGGCUCUGGUGAAAACCGGCUAGCUCAGAAAGACUGAGUUGCUUUUUGGCCUGAGACACUACAAGAUACAUGUCUCUUCUCUGUCCCAGAACCAAGAGAGCCCAAAUUCUAGUCCCCACCCUUUCUGUCCUGUGCAUCUUCUCUAUCCAAAUCGCUGGCUUUUCUAUGGCCAGUUCUGGUCAGCUAGUCAUUGGCUCCACCCUCUGAUUCAGGGUAUCUCUUUUGGGCAGUCUCGGAAUGUCAGAGUGCAAUCAAUAUAUCUCACACUAACACAAGUUGCCCCCAUAUUGAGGAGGAAAUCAAAGCUACAGGUUCCAGCAGAAAGUAAGGGGUAAAAGAGAAGGUGCACCCCUUCCUUAGAGACUGGCUCUGUUAAUACCUACCUGGCAAACCUAGAUGCAGGUUCCAGCACAGGUAGGUGGGGGAUUAUAGGUCCCAGUGGGGUAGCUCCCCAAAUUAUGAGUGGGGAACAUAUGUUUAAAUUGCCCCCAGUUGCCUUAGCACCAGGUCCCUCAAAGAUGGUCUUAGUGUAAGGAGAAGGUAACAGGGCAUCUUAAGGUGAGCACAUGGGCCUCAGGUUUUGUGCAAGGGAAUCAUGUUACUAAGUAUAUUCACCUUAGAAAAAUAUGGCAGCAGUGGGAUAAUUCUGAAGGAUGAAAGCAACACAGUAAGAAAGAAAAAGCAACUGUGCCAACAGCAAGGCAAGAGCUGAAGAUGGGUGAAAGCAUGGAGGUGACAAGUUUGCAGACAGAGAUCAUAGGCAGGUUCAAAGGCAGGGAUGACUGGACCAGGGGACAGGAAGACAGGAAGAGCUUACAUAGACAACGGUGGUCUCCAUACCAAAAGGUGAUCAGCAUAUUGACUUCACCUGGGUGAGGCAUGUCCCCAGAGAGCUUUCCUCCUGACUCAUGGUUGCAGAGACAUGAGCCUAAGCCGGAAAGAAGGGGACAUAAGACAUUCGGCUCCGUUUGAUUUGGAUGGAGUCAGAAAAGCAACAUGGAACCUCUGACUUUCCAGGGAGAUUUUCCUGGAUAUGUCCCCAAACACAGUGUCCAUCCAGGCUCCAUUCACAUCUGCAGCAGCUGGACCUCAAGAGCCUGCUGGUGUGCUCUACACCCAUGCACUUGCCAGCAGUGGCCUGAGUUGCCAUCACAGCUGUUUUCACAGGUUUUGUUUGGGAACUCAGUGUGGGGCUUGGGAACAGCUGGGAGUUUCUGAGUAAUUGCAUACCCUGGGGGUGGAGGAAGGCCAAGUACAACAGCGUGUCCUCAGGACCCAUGACAGGGCAGUGUAGGAAAUCAGGUGAGAUGGCUCCUAAGAGUGGAGUUCCAGCCAUGGGGGUGGAGCUUGAAGCUCAGCCCAGAGGCAGAGACAGCAGUCCCUACAACACAAAGUAAGGCACCCCAGAGCCCUACCACACCCAAGGGUCACCUACUACUUCAAGGAAAUGUGGGUAUUUUAAAUGCAUAUUAGUAUCUCCCCUUUGCUAUGCUAGAACUACACAACUUGAAAGUCAAGUAGAAAGAAAAUGGAUGAUCUCCUUUGCUGUAAAAUGUGUUUUUGCUUUAAGAUUCAGAUCAAAUAUCAGCUUUGAAGCUUUCUUUAGCUUUCUUUGACCUUGUUCCUCUCUUCACUCCAGGAAGAUUGAUUGUCCGUUCUCUACAUCCAUGCCUAUUCUACCACCAGUGUAAAAUGUAAUCAUCUCCACUCAACUGGUCCAUGCUAAUUCAUUACUCACUGGGCUCUGGGGCCCUGAGGGUAUACUAGAGAGGAAAUGGGAGGCAGUCUUCUCUGUGGAUGUGAGGUAUCUCUGGCAGGGAUUAGACAUCUCACUCAGGUUGAUGGAAUCAAAUUUAAUCCACCCAAGGAUUUUGCACGCACAUUGGAAAUUUCCAAGAGAUAGGUCAAAAUAGCAAUCUACAAGCACAUUUGAAAACCUAACCUUUUAUUUGCUUUCCCAGGAGAAGGCCUUGGAAUACUUGACUCCGUUAGAUGUCAUUUGAAGUUGUCAGUAAGCCACUUCAUUGAAUGACAUGAUGUGUCCCUCCCCUAUCAUUAAAUUAUGAAUACACUCCACUGCCAAGCAAUGUGAGAUCUCAGGACUACAACAUGUUCCCCAAAAUAUAUCACUGUUAUCAAGGAGAAACCUUCUCUAAUACAAUAAAGAAAGGUAUGGUGCCAAAAAUAGUUUCAUUCUAGUAGAACCUUGUUCGUGGAGACCUGUUGCUCAAGGGGAUGUUAGCAUGCUCUAAAUCUCGAUUCUUCUCACUUCUGCAUCAAUAAAAUGCAAAUUCUCCUCUCAUCAUAAUUCUCAACUGUACCCAGAUUCCAAGAUCUUAUCCAUGACCCAACUUUGAAAAUCAGGUUUAGCACAACUUAUUCCCUGGCUUAGACCCUCUGUGAUCCUCUUAUUUUUAAAUCAGGAAUAAAAAAAGACAGCUUUUUGUGACCAGACAGCCAAGAAUCCCAGGUGGGAUUCGCUCCAAGAAGAGCACAUGCAUCUGUCAAGAUCCUGAAAAAUGGUUCCUCUUCAAAUCCUAAUUUUUUUCUUUAAGAGAAAAUAUAUAGAAACCACAAACAUAUUUGUAUCGUUGCCAUCCCAUGCCUUCAUUCUUGGAGGAAGUGUUGGAUUUUCUUGUUCUUUGGCUCUUUGGCUCAGAAAGCAAGGAGUGACAUCAGCGAGCUGAAACUACAAGUUCUACCACCCUUUCCGUGUUAAACUACGAUGUUUACUUCUCCGAGGGUUGGCCAAGAAAGUCCAUUUGGGCUGGAACGCCACAUAUUUAGUCUCAGAAUUAAGGUAAUUUCUUUGGAAAAGUUUCAACCAAAUCAAUUUAUUUCAGAGAUGUUGGUGUUGGGUCCCUUUUAAAAAAUUCCACAGCCCCAGGCUUGUUCACAGUACCUGCUCUGCUAACGCAAUUCCAAGCUGGCUGUCAUACUCAAAGCGGUACACUCUGGGUAUAUGGGACUCUGCAAUGUGGGUGUUGGGUGCCCAAGAAAAACGCUGUGGUUUUAUAGGGUGAAUGUAGCUGCAUGAGCUCACUGGAGACUAAAGAUCCGUGGGACUGAGGGGUUUGGACAAGAACCACUCCUGCUAUCUAUAACAUUUUUUCCAUAAUAAAACACACUCACACAGAUUCUUUCACUUGUUCCAUAAGAGUAUUUUGUGACACAGACAGAGUAGAUAUCAUUCUACCUAUUUUCAUAAAGAAAUACAAGGGUUAGGUGUUGGUAACUCCAUGGGCAAGGCUUCAUAGUUAGGAGUAGCAGACCUGCAAUGUGUCUGCCUCAUGGUUCAGCUCCUUUUUUCAAAGCUGCCUUCUCUAACUAAUCAGAAAGAACUAGGAGUGAAAUGGAACUGUAAAGUGUCUGCCCUUGAGGAUGCAUCAAUGAGAACAUAAUAAACAGAUGUCAAGUAUCCCUUGAAGACUACCCAGAAAGCUCUUGUCCAAACUGUUUCUUCUACUCACUCACUGCUGAUGCCUGAAAUCCCACCACUAACCAUAUGCUUCUUCAGGUAAGACACUGGAAUUCUUAUGUUGAGAAAUGCACACAUGCUAUAAUGUUUUUUGAAUCAAGUGUGUCCCCAUUCCCUUCCCUCCUUCACACACACACACACACACACACACACACACACACACACACACACACACACACAAUUCCCUUCCAAUUUUGUGUUUGUUUGUUUUUAAAUCUAUUGAGUCUACUUAUGAAGCAAUACAUAUGGGUAUAGGGCCAUCUACUAAAUCAUGGGUACCUUUAUACAGGCUGCAUCCAUGACAAAACCUGACUCUCCCUCUCUGAGCAACCAUCAGUUGCUAAUAGCUCCCCAGGUUGGGAUGGGGCUUCAUGACCACCUCUCUCCUCCAUGCCUGUAUUUCAUCUGGCUUGCUCUUCUCCAGGUCUUGGGCAUGCUAUCAUAUGCACAUUCAUAAGUAAUAACCAGAACUGCUCUAAUUGAAUGUUGUAAAGUGUUCAAAGCUUAAAAGAUAUCAAAAGUCAAUGUCAUUUUCUAGUACCCCUAAGCAAUAGCUAACUAUGAGGGAACAUUCUUUUCUCGAUCCUGAUAGGCAUAUUUUUUCAUGUGAAGAAAAUAACCAUUAGCCCUAUUGCAUUAAACCUGGCCAACAUAAAUCAUCCUUAGCCAGGGUGGCCUAUUUGCUGUCCCUGAAAAAUCUUGUCACCGCCUGUCAUGCCUCCAGGUCUGGGCUCACUCUGGUUGCUGCAACGGGACUGUGUCUUUCCAAGUUCUAGGUCUACAAUGCCUUCAAAUUUGCUCCAAGAUUACCUAUUCUCAGCCUUUGUUUUAAAAAGGACCAAAAAGAUUGUAGGAGUUGCCAAGACCACACAGCACAAUUACUUCUGGAGGCUGAAACGUAAGCCUCAAAGUAUCUGUCAGAAGGGUAUUUUCCCAAUGCCACUUCCAUUUAUUGCAAUCCAGACAGGAAAAGCAGCAGUGACCCAGUAUUUUCUUUCCGCUCCUCAGUAUUUUUCAUCUUAUCAAAAGCCCUACCUUCUCCAAUGCAUUUUAGAGUACCUGUAAGGGUUUAUGUAACUAAAACCUGUCUAACCCUGGACACGUAGUUUUCUCAGAAUGACUAAGAAUGGCUGGGCCAAAUUUGCUCAUUUAAAGACCAGUUAAUUGAUUGCAGUUUGAAUUCUAACUCUGCCACUGACUAAUUAUGUAACAUAGCAAUCCACCAGGUCUGGGUCUCAGUUUGUUUGUUUUUGUUUCACCAACAAAUAAAUAAUAUCAACAGAAUUUGUAUUGAUCAUUUCCCUUAGAAGACUGUAUCAUACAAAAAUCACAGGGCUCUGAACAGGUACAAAGAGCAGACGUUAUUAAGUCACAGAUGAGUGAGACAGCUUGUGAAAACCAAUGACCAUGAGGACCUGAAGGAAAGCACUAGGUUCCCAGAAGAGGAGAUAGAGGCUCCUAAAGGUAGUCUCUGAUGUGGUGUGACCUUGGUAGGUGAGAGGACAAAGGCGAGCCUAAGUUUAACUUUUCAGAGCUUAAAAUGUAACAGCAGGGAGCCAUCUUGUCUCCCUUCCUGGACCAAAUGGCCUCCCCUCUGUAAGGCAGUGGUGCCUGAGAGCCAUCAUUUUCAGAGGUCAGAAGGUUAAUGUCCCACUCUGACUCAGGUCACCUCUCAACCUCCCUCUCUGAAACUUCAGCUCUACAUUUUAAAGACACAUAUAAUAAAACUCGACCCUGAGGUCCACCCCAUUAAGGAAUAAAAACAGUAAUCCAGUAACUACAACACUGCAGAUCCAUGGAGGCCUCAUGGAUGUCUCUGUACUGAAACAGCAUACGGACAGAUUUAUGAUAAUUUGGAUAUUGUCUUUCUUCAUGUAUUAAACCUUCUGUGGAGAGUGUAGAAAGUGGAAAAGAGCCUCAGUUGUCCCAGUAAAGAUAUAUGGCGAUACCCAUUGACCUCAUGAUAAGAAGGGGCUUCCACAUAGGACACAUAUUAUAUAUAAAAUACAAAGAUAAGCUAGAGCCCUGUUCAACUCGGUUAUUUGACCCCCUGUGAAUGCCACAAUGAGGAUAGAUUGUAGAGGACUUGAAGCAAAGGGUAUUCACUCUAUUCAUCUUUGAGGGCACCAAAAUGCCCAGAAAUUUGCUGAAUACAGAAUAUGGUGAAUGUUUACUACACUAGAUCAAUAAAAUGAAAAUGGUUUCUAGAACAGUAUGUUACAGUGAGCAUGGACCUAGAUUAAGUGAGUUCAGAUAGCUUGGUUUUCAUCAUGAGCUUGUCCUUAGCUUAUUUGAAUGAUUUCUCUAUAACUCAGAUUUUGUUGGUCUGGCUAGGAAGGAUGCUAGAUGCCUGGUGAAGAUAAUCAACAUGGUUUUCUCCUCAAAUGCCCCAUUUGCAGCAUGAAUUGGUUAAUCUUCCAUCAGAGUACAGAUGGAGUCCACUUCCCAUUACUGUGCAUCUGGAUAGGUUUCAUGAUUGACUUUGUCCAAUAGAAUGCAUCAGAGGUGACUUUGGUGACUUCUGAGACUAGGUCUGAAGAGGUAUUACUGUUUCCUCCACUUUGGAUGCUACACUGAGUCUGCUGCAUAAGAAAUCUGGUCCAAACUACUAGAAGAUGAAAGGGCAUAUGGAAGACAACAAGGGCCCUCCAACCAAGAGCCAACAUCAGCUUCUGAAGCAGUGAGUAAGGCCAUCCUGGGUCUUUCCAUCCCUGUUGCUUCUCCAGCUGAAAGCAGUGACAUGAUCAAGUCCAAGGAAAGCAAAGGAGAGGCUGUUGAGCCAACCCACAGAAUUUUGAGAAAUAACAUUAUUUUUAAGCAGAGCCUAACUGAGCAAGGAAAGCAGACAAGAUUACUUCUAAGAUGCUGUCUACUCAUGAUUCCAAAGCCUCUGUGUAAUGCUAUUGUAAAAAUAUUUUACUAUAGUGAUAGCAAAAUAGAGCAAUAUUCAGAGAAGCAUCUACCAUUGAUUUUGCAAAGAAACUACAUACAGAGGAGAAGCGAGUCACCCAAGUUUGUCAUGAAGUGUUAUAUUGUAGAGCUGAGGAUGUGGUUUUGUUGAUAGGAAUGGCUUUUCUAGCAUUCACAAAGCCAUGGGUUCAAUUCCCAGACUGUAUAUAACUGACCAUGGUGGUAUGAUGGUGCAUGUUUAUAAUCCCAGCACUCAGAGGUGGAGUCAAGAAGACUGACAGUUCAAGUCAUUUUCCACUAUAUGACUAAUUUAAGUCCAGUCUAUGCUGCCUAAGACCUUCUCUCCAACAAAUUAAACUUAAAAUGGUAGAUUUUACAGCAUAGAACCUGACAGAGAGGAACACAAAUCCUGGCCCAUGAUCCAUACCUUCUUAACAGUUUCUCCACACACCUAAAAGAAUGGGUUGGACUGUUUCAUGAAUAGAGAUGCACUCCAUUGUGAAGUUAGCCAGGUCUACACAGAGAAAGGCCCCAAGAAACAGCCCAUUCUAGUGGACUACCCUUCCUAUUGAAUGACACUGACUCUUUCAUGCUUGUUUGGGACCAUGUUCAAAUGUGCAGACUUCAGCUGAAAUCAAGAGAGACUGAAACAGUCAGCCACACUUCAAAUAUUUAUUUUGUAUUCUAACAAUCAAUUUCUCAUCUCUCCUCCCAAUCUUUUUCCACCUGUUUGCAGAAAUAAUUACUAGUGCCCAAUUAUGAGCUCUCUGCCACUUUUCUCUCUGCAUUUCUGAAAGCACUCAGGAAAACUCUUCUCCUGAAGCGUAAGCCAUUACUAACAUAUCGUGGCGUCUGGCGUUGAUGUAGAGCCAAACUGGGAACUUCUGGGUUGGUCUUGGAUUGAGCUGAGGGGAGUUAAAUGUUUGGGGCAGGGGUGGAGUGGGGCUCCAACAAAAUGGCAAAAGUUAACUUCAAAAUGAAUGUCAGAAGAAAGAAUUAGAAGAGACAAUUAAAUAAACACCUGAGUGGAAAUUCCAGGGCUGGUGCCAUCGGCAGAGCAUGCAACACCCAUUUUAGACACAUUCUAAAGACAGUUUCAAUAAGGCAUCUGAGAAGGUGAAUCGAAUAAAUUCCAAAUCUUCAGAACAGGGUGGUUGCUAUGUGGCUUCCUAUGAGUGGACUAUUAAAUGAACUUUAAGGGGAAAAAAAUAAAACCUAGCAGUUUCUCCUGUCAUCGCCCAAUGAAAAAGAAGAGGAAAAGAAUCAGUUAGCCAGCAGAAUGACAUUCAGAUGUUGAAAGGGUGAAACCUGAGCAACACUUCGAAACCUUUGCUAGAAAACAAGAAGCUAGUGUUGAAAGUGAAGACACAAAGGCAAGCACUCUCCGAGGUUUAGCACACAGGCUGUGCCCACACUCUGAUUGGCAUGGACAAUUUGCCUAAGAAAACACAGCGGCCAGAUUCCAGCUAGCACCUUCUCACCUCCAUUUAUAACUGUAAGUGGCAAGGGUGAAGUUGAAAGGGAGAUGAUGGCCAGAACCUUCUCACAUACCUGCUGCUGCCAGCAUAUCUAGAACCAAUGGUUACCUAAGCCUCUCAUUUCAUUCCAACAUGUCUCAACCUACAAAGCAGGUCACACCCACAGAACUGUAGAAGAUUCACUAGCAUACUAGAAUGUCUUUGGUGUCUAGCAUACGUCAAAGACAAUGCAAGUGCUAAGAACAAAAGCCGGCAUCCACCAUCUAUCUAAGACCCAAUCAAUAUUGAUGACUAAGAGUGUUUAGUUUGGAAUAAAUAGCAUGUACAACUGUAGAUGAGACCCAGAUGAUGGAGAGAGCAUUGCAACUAAAAAUGAGAAGACAUGACAAGUUUAGUGAUCUAAUGAUUCCUUAAAAAAAAUUAAGUAUCACUUAAACUCUGGGAAGUCAGUCUCCUGACCCCGAAGCAAGAUAGCUCUACUGCAUGAUGCCUCCAAAGCCCCCUGAAGGUUUGCUGAAGAAAAGGUUGAGCAUCACCCCCUUUUUUGAGCAUCUCUUCUAAUCUACCGCAACUGCUGUAGUCUUCAUCCAAACCACAGUAGAGUUUAGAUAAAAUGAAUUGAACUCUGUCUGACUUUGGGACAAACUGGAUAUGGCUAAGUGUUUGCUAUAUGUUAGCAGAAAUAAAUUCAUUGAAACAAUUCUUGUUCAAGAGGUCAGAAGAUGGGAGGAUAUAGUGAUGCUCUGAUAUCACACAUGCACUCAAGGUUAAAAUAAGAAUCUACCAUAAUUUCUCAGCUUCUUCAUAAUGUGCUCCAUGCCUUUCUCCAAAGUUUUAUCCUGAAAUUAUUAUCCUAAAUUAUUAUCUUAAAAAUCACAUAUUACCUUUUAAUUUUCAUGGAAGAGUAAUCAAAAUAAUCAGUAUAAUUUUGUAGUGUAUUUAAGUAUAGAAAAAUUAAAUGUUAGCUUUUCAUUCAUCUGACAUAAGUGGUGUCCACUGAAAUGUGACUUGAUUUUACUAACUGGAACAUAAAAGUUGUAAGCAUGAAUGGUAUUAAAGCAAACAUCUCACCAACAUUCGACCCUUGGCUCCCUGGGAAAAGAGGUAAUUGGACUCCUCUAGAAAACUCUGGUACAGCAAAUAAAUGUUAUUUAGAACUAUGUCAUUUCGUCUAUUUCUUUUUAUCUUGUUAAAUUCAAAUAAAAUUAAAAUUGUCCCAUGAGGGAUUAGUUUUUAAACUUUCAUAAUAUAAUUCUUCAUACUAUUUUUUAGUGUCUAAAUUUUCUAACAUAAAAUUGUAUUUCUUUCAACAUAAC